CACGAAGCGAAAUCAUUAUCACAUAACGACGAAAAUCUUUGAUAAUGAUGAUAGAGAGAAGUGAUGGAAUAUACAAUAGCUAUCGCCUGUUCUUGUAGCGUAGUAGUGGUGGUAACAUUUCUGAUAAUAUUUGGAAUUGUUUGCAGAAAAAAGAAUAAAUGUAAAACAAACGAUGGAUUUAAGGGUAGAAUCCUGCAAAAUGAACAUACUGAACAAACAAAAACAAAAUUAUUUUGGUCCCGCUUUUCCAAGUCUUCCAAUGAAAGGUCUAAAGUAGUCACUGUGAACGUUGGUGGAACAAGCAACAACAAGUAUGAUAAUCGACGAGGGCGGGCAACUCUCGCGUUGCCUGAGGUACACGGAUAGUUUCGGAUACGAAAGUAAUAAGUUGUUGUCUUAUAUUCAUGAUUCAGUUAUGUGACACAACCAGCAACAUUAUGUAAUGCAUAAUUACCCAUUUGACUUGAUAUUUAAGUUGUUUUGUUACACUAAAUGGUUUCCAUAAUUAACGAGUUUCAUCUUUUUAUGCGUUUUGGGAUUUCAUUAUAAUUGCUUUGUUUCAAAUCUAAAUAAAUACGUAUUACAAAAUA